GUGCUGCCCCUUUAAGAACAGUGAGCUCGUGUGAUGACACGCGUAGAGCGUAGGUUCAGAGGGUAGAGAGAAAAAAAAAACAAGUGAAACAUGUGCCAUGUUGUACUCGUGUUAAGCAAGUUUAAGGGCUGUUUAAUUACAGAUGUCUUCAAGAUUAAGCAUAAACUAACUAUUCCCAGCGUGUUUGACCACUAAAUGCAUGUUUAUGUCAACUAACCUAACAACUACUUCACAACUACAAACCUGAUCUUAAACUGCAUUGUGUGUUCUGCACAAGGGAAAUAAAAACACCAAACAACA